UACGAGGGGUGCAAGCGUUACUCGGAAUUACUGGGCGUAAAGCGUGCGUAGGUGGUUUGUUAAGUCUGUUGUGAAAGCCCCGGGCUCAACCUGGGAAUGGCAAUGGAUACUGGCAAGCUAGAGUGCGGUAGAGGGUAGUGGAAUUCCCGGUGUAGCGGUGAAAUGCGUAGAGAUCGGGAGGAACACCAGUGGCGAAGGCGGCUACCUGGACCAGCACUGACACUGAGGCACGAAAGCGUGGGGAGCAAACAGG
rnacentral:rRNA from 1 species